rnacentral:pre_miRNA from 1 species
GUGAUUGCCGGAUGGGGCCUCUCCACUAGUGCUGUGCAGAGGCUUUCACUGAGGCUGCUGUGGGACUGUAGAGUUUCCCCCUGGGCCACGGAGCCGG